rnacentral:rRNA from 1 species
AAUCAACGCUGGCGGCGUGCCUAACACAUGCAAGUCGAACGCGAAAGCCCCGCAAGGGGUGAGUAGAGUGGCAAACGGGUGAGUAACGCGUGGGUGACCUGCCUUCGAGUGGGGGAUAACGUUCCGAAAGGGACGCUAAUACCGCAUGACAUCCUGCUGUUGAAACAGUGGAGAUCAAAGCUGGGGAUCGCAAGACCCAGCACUCGGAGAGGGGCCCGCGUCCGAUUAGCUAGUUGGUGAGGUAACGGCUCACCAAGGCGACGAUCGGUA